UACGUAGGGGGCAAGCGUUGUCCGGAUUUAUUGGGCGUAAAGAGCGUGUAGGCGGCCAACUAAGUCAUACGUGAAAUCCCUCGGCUUAACCGGGGAACUGCGUCUGAUACUGGAUGGCUUGAGUUCGGGAGAGGGAUGCGGAAUUCCAGGUGUAGCGGUGAAAUGCGUAGAUAUCUGGAGGAACACCGGUGGCGAAGGCGGCAUCCUGGACCGAUACUGACGCUGAGGAGCGAAAGCCAGGGGAGCAAACGGG
rnacentral:rRNA from 1 species